rnacentral:rRNA from 1 species
GCGGGGCGCCCGCCGGAGGUCACAAACUCUUAUGUAUUAUAGUGGCAUCUCUGAGUAAAACACAAAUAAGUUAAAACUUUCAACAACGGAUCUCUUGGUUCUGGCAUCGAUGAAGAACGCAGCGAAAUGCGAUAAGUAAUGUGAAUUGCAGAAUUCAGUGAAUCAUCGAAUCUUUGAACGCACAUUGCGCCCGGCAGUACUCUGCCGGGCAUGCCUGUUCGAGCGUCAUUUCAACCCUCAAGCACUGCUUGGUGUUGGGGCCCCACGGCUGCCGUGGGCCCUGAAAGGAAGUGGCGGGCUCGCUACAACUCCGAGCGUAGUAAUUCGUUAUCUCGCUUAGGGCGUUGGGCGGCGCUCCAGCCGUUAAAGAACCAUCUUUAACUCAAGGUUGACCUCGGAUCAGGUAGGAAUACCCGCUGAACUUAAGCAUAUCAAU